CGACUGAUUACAGGGAAUCAACUUAACCGAAUGGUUUCCGGUCUACGUCUACGAGAGUGCUCGUUACAAGACACCACACAAAUUUCCUCUUCCAAAUUUAGCAGAUCUAAACAAAAAAAAAAAUGAAGAAAAUGCAAUAAGAGUAAUUGCCAAAGAAAAGAAGAAUCAGAAGAGCGUGACCCAAACAACAAAAAGGAACAAUUGAAUAAGGAACACAGCAGACACUACAAGUUGGAACAUAGCCGACGGCAAGUCCAAAGAUUCCUCCCAAAGAUUCCUGCUCGAGUAACAAGUACCUCGUUAACAACAAAAUUAUAUAAAAUCCCCCAAAAAAAAAGAUCAACCCUGGAAGUGGCAACGCGUCUGAAGCUCUUACGUGAUAUAUGCACAUCCUCAGUGAAAGAGGGCGUGCAAAGAAGUAGUAAAGAAGCAAUAUAGUUAAUAGCACUAAGUGCGGAUAAGAGUGUUAGUCGGUGCACACGCACGCAUAAGACGAGGAGGAGCAAAACGGGGCCUGUU